rnacentral:lncRNA from 1 species
CGCUGUUCUCCACACUAGAGUAAAGUACACAGGCGGGCGACGUAGAUUGGUCAGACUGUUACCAGUAAAUCCCCGCCCUGUUUCCUGGUGUAAGUUUUGUUACUUUUUAUUUUAUUUAUUUUCCUUUCGGCUUUAUUCGCAGCUCGGUUUGCUGACGCGCUGCUGCUCUGCGAGACACUCGGGCAAGUCGCGUUAAUCGAGGAGACACCGCAGGCAGAGUCCGGACUCCCGCGCUUUGUUUUGGACGAUACGUCACGCGUUCGACCGACCAAUCGCCGGAGCCCGUGCUGAGUGAGCGCACAGUCUGCGGGAGGAAGAAAGAUGGCGGACGUGGUGGAGAUCCACAAGCUGAAGGUACUUAUAGCUA